rnacentral:rRNA from 1 species
AUUGAACGCUGGCGGCAUGCCUUACACAUGCAAGUCGAACGGCAGCACGGGAGCAAUCCUGGUGGCGAGUGGCGAACGGGUGAGUAACGCAUCGGAACGUGCCCAGUCGUGGGGGAUAGCCCGGCGAAAGCCGGAUUAAUACCGCAUACGACCUAUGGGUGAAAGCGGGGGGCCUUUCGGGGCCUCGCGCGAUUGGAGCGGCCGAUGUCAGAUUAGGUAGUUGGUGGGGUAAAGGCCCACCAAGCCGACGAUCUGUAGCUGGUCUGAGAGGACGACCAGCCACACUGGGACUGAGACACGGCCAAGACUCCUACGGGAGGCAGCAGUGGGGAAUUUUGGACAAUGGGCGCAAGCCCGAUCCAGCCAUGCCGCGUGCGGGAAGAAGGCCUUCGGGUUGUAAACCGCUUUUGUCGGGGAAGAAAUGCUCCGGGAUAAUACCCUGGGGAGAUGACGGUACCCGAAGAAUAAGCACCGGCUAACUACGUGCCAGCAGCCGCCGUAAAAC